rnacentral:rRNA from 1 species
GACGAACGCUGGCGGCGUGCUUAACACAUGCAAGUCGAGCGGUAAGGCCCUUUCGGGGGUACACGAGCGGCGAACGGGUGAGUAACACGUGGGUGACCUGCCCUUAGCUCUGGGAUAAGCCUGGGAAACUGGGUCUAAUACCGGAUAUGACUCCAUGACGCAUGUUGUGGGGUGGAAAGCCUUGUGCGGCUAGGGAUGGGCCCGCGGCCUAUCAGCUUGUUGGUGGGGUGAUGGCCACC